CAUAACAUAGGUCAAUGAAAUUGGAGAAAACCUAGGAGGCCAUGGUUCAAAACUUCAAAUUCCAGCAAAGACUAUGCUAUAGGUGAUUUCUUUACCAAGUCACGUGCGGUGCAUAUGCGAGCGACAAAGCGCGGGUAUACUAAAAAGAAACAAAGAAGCAGAGAAGCCAAAGGCAGAUCUACAGCUACAAAAUAAAUUCUUUGAUCUGCGGUUUUGUUUGGGAAUAAGAAUAAUGGGAAAGGUGGAAUCAAACGAAGACGCCUCAAAUCAGAAGAAGAGGGUGAAGAGAAACCAUGGAUCCACUAAAUUCUUUGUGUUUUUAGAUUAUGUAUUCCUCUUUGUAUUCUUUUGUUUCCUCUGCUACAUUCUCUUCAAAAUGGUCGGGAUUUGAUCUAUCCAGGUUUAAUGAUAAGCUAUAUCCAGAUCAAUAGAGUCCAAGUUCUUAUGAAAUGCAAAACUGCUGGUUUAUUCCAGUUUAGAGAUUCUUUCCUUCUUAUUUUGGACACUGAGAUAUGGAGAGGAAUGAAGUUGUUGCACUGGUGUUCUGUGUCAAAUUCACCUAUGCCACGCGAGUUACUUGUUUAAUAUACUUAAAAUAUAUGACAUUGAGUAGCUUUCUUGGUGUGCCUGAUCACACAAUUUACAUGUUGAUAUGGCGCUGAAAAUAUUCGGAUGCUCAAUUGAUAACUUCUAGGAUCUCCUUCACUAUUCCGAAAUUAUUUUUAUUCUUUUUAACUUGGGCACAAGCGAAAUAUACCAUAUUGAUGGGGACUCGAAAUCAUCAUUUCAGUUUGA